rnacentral:rRNA from 1 species
UACAGAGGUGGCAAGCGUUAUCCGGAAUUAUUGGGCGUAAAGAGUCUGUAGGCUAUCUGACAAGUUUUCUGUGAAAUUCCAAUGCUCAACAUUGGAGCUGCAGAAAAUACUGUUAGAAUUGAGGAAGAUAGAGGUAAGUGGAAUUCCCGGUGUAGUAGUGAAAUGCGUUAAUAUCGGGAGGAACACCAAUAGCGAAGGCAACUUACUGGAUCUUUCCUGACGCUGAGAGACGAAAGCGUGGGUAGCGAAUGGG